GUCGAGGAUCAUUCGCAAUGGGCGCAAGCCUGACGAUGCGACGCUGCGUGGAGGAUGAAGGCCUUCGGGUUGUAAACUCCUGUCAUUCGGGAACAAUAAGCCGGCCAAUAAUACUGGCUGGAAUCGAUAGUACCGGAAGAGGAAGCCACGGCUAACUCUGUGCCAGCAGCCGCGGUAAUACAGAGGUGGCAAGCGUUGUUCGGAUUUACUGGGCGUAAAGGGUGCGUAGGUGGUUUCGUGUGUCGGGCGUGAAAGCCCACCGCUCAACGGUGGAAUGCCGUCCGAAACUACGGGACUAGAGUGCAGGAGAGGAGAGCGGAAUUCUUGGUGUAGCGGUGGAAUGCGUUGAGAUCAAGAAGAACACCAGUGGCGUAGGCGGCUCUCUGGAAUGCAACUGACACUGAGGCACGAAAGUUGGGGGAGCAAACAGGAUUAGAAACCCCGGUAGUCC
rnacentral:rRNA from 1 species